UUUAAUUUGAUUUUUUUUUCUUUCUAAUUUUGACAAUAUAUUUUUUGACUUUUUAUGAAAAGAUGUACAAAAAAAUAAUAAAAUAAUGUGACCCAAAUAAAUACACUUAUUUAGCUUAUGCCAAAUAAUGCUUAGAUUUUAUAGAGCAAUAAUCAUUUAUUUUUACAAUUUUAUUUUAUCAUAUGAUGUUUCAAUUUAAUUGUUAGAAUAAUAUUAGGGAUGAAGGCUUGGCUGUUUAAUACUUGGCUGUUUAAACAGCCACUCAGCCAGCGACAAUCAAGGGGUUCCAAUAUAUAAAAAAAUGUUUGAGAGUUCUAAAUCAAGAGCUCUAAUGGGUGUGCUCCACUCAUUGAUGUAAUGUUUUGAUUUUUUUUAUAAAUAAUGUUGGGGAGCUUUAAUUUGAAAGCUCUAAUGUAACUCUAAUAAUGUGAAGAAUGUCAUGUGAAGAGGGAGCCCACACUCCUCUCUCUAUCUCUCUUUACUCUCCCUCUCUUCCAUUUUAGGGUUCUUUGGAAGGAUCUAUUUUACAGAUUUGUGGUUGCUUUAUCAAUGCUUGGUGUUGAGUUGAAAAGUUCAAUAAAUUUGUAAGUAUUGAUUGAUUGAUUGUAUUUCUGAUAUUCUAAUUGAGUCCCGAAUUAUUGUCUUUUACUAAUAAUUUUGAUUGGGUCUCUUACAUUGUCUUCAGAGUUCCAAGGAUGCUUUUUGUAAGAGGUUAAUGUUUGAGUCAUCUUAAAGUUUUGUUACUGGUUGGAGCACAACCCAUUAUUUUGCUCUUUCUAUUUUUGUUUUUGCUUUUUUUUUUUUUUUUUGUUUCAAUCCGAAAACUUCAAACUUUGCGCUAAUUUUUCUUGAGGUUGGUCACUGCUCAUGGUUUAAAUUUAAGCUUUUAUUUGAAAUAAUAUUCAUGUCAAUAUGUGUAUACUCACUCAACUCUCUAUUAUUAUGAUAUCGAGAUUUCCUCGAUUUUUGUCUUUUCUGAAUUAGUUAAAAUUUUCUGAUUACGAUUCGUAUUUCCUUUCUAUAAUUUGGUGAAUUCCACUACUAAUUCAUUGCUUAGUUGAUAAUAGUGCAUUUCAUUGCUUAGUUGAUAAUUUGAUUCAAUCAUCUACCUAAUUCCAUGCAUGUGAUACAAAUUUGUGUUUUCAUAUGGUUAUUAAUGUAUGUAAAUUUGCUUUAUCUCUCUGUUUGUUUCUUUGAUGGUUUACUUACAUGAUUAUGAAAGGUAAUUCCUUUCAAAAAAAAUGCUUCUAAAAGUAAGGCAGUAGCAAACAGACUUAACCAACUAUAUAUGCUUCCCUUAAUUUUGUCCUUAAGUAUGAGUAUUGGAAUUGUCUGACCGACUAUAUAUAUAUGCUAAUCGGCGACAUCGCGGCAACAAAUCGGUGAGGUUCUCCAAAAUCUUUUGGCCGUUCACAUUCCAGCCCUUUGUUUUCAAUGAAACCAACCUUGAGUCAGUUUUUCUCUCUCAUUAUGGGUGAUUAGCAGCCAGAUUAGUAAGGUUUUUUUUGUGUGUAUAUAUAUUGAUUAUAGUUUUUUUUUUUGUUUUUUUUCUUUGAAGCCACAGAGAUUAUCAAUUGAUCAUUAGUGGAGAAUCAAACUGAAAGGUGACUACUACCGGUAUCUUGCUGAGUUUAAGACUGACCAGGAAAGAAAAGAGGCUGUUUCUACUAUUGCAAAUACAGAUCUCCCUUCAACACACCCAAUUCGUCUUGGCCUUGCUCUCAACUUCUCUGUCUUCUAUUAUGAGAUUAUGAAUUCCUUUGAGAGGAAAGGUGACUACUACUGGUAUCUUGCUGAGUUUAAGACUGACCAGGAAAGAAAAGAGAUUAUUCUUAUGAGAUUAUCUUGCUGGUACAUAUGCCUUGGCUUGAAGGAGUGUUUGAUUAGCUCAUAAAAAGUUGUUGUGACUUUGCUUGCCGCAAUGGUUGAUUAGACUCGAAAAAUUCAGGUUAUACAAUGAAUGGAAGUGUUGUGUGGGUCUAUUAGUGAAUUUUUCAAGAAAUGGAGAGCAAUGGCACAACGGCCCAUUAAACAAAAAAUGAGUUAUGCAUUAUCACAGGGAUGGAAACUCAAAGGAGCAUGAUCAUCCAAAAAUGGCUACUUUGCACAAGGUAAGCUUUAAUUGUUUAAAAUUUUA